UUAGAGUUUGAUCAUGGCUCAGAACGUACGCUGGCGGCACGCCUAACACAUGCAAGUCGAACGAAGUAGCAAUACUUAGUGGCAGACGGGUGAGUAACAUGUAGGUAUCUACCCUUUGGCCUGGAAUAACACGAGGAAACUUGUGCUAAUACCGGAUAAGUCUUUACGGAGAAAGCUUUAUGCACCAUUGGAUGAGCCUGCACUUGAUUAGUUUGUUGGUGGGGUAACGGCCUACCAAGACUGUGAUCAAUAGCUGAUUUGAGAGGAUGAUCAGCCACAUUGGGACUGAGACACGGCCCAAACUCCUACGGGAGGCAGCAGUGGGGAAUCUUGCACAAUGGAGGAAACUCUGAUGCAGCGAUGCCGCGUGAGUGAAGAAGGCCCUUGGGUUGUAAAGCUCUUUCGUCGGGGAAGAAAAUGACUGUACCCGAAUAAGAAGGUCCGGCUAACUUCGUGCCAGCAGCCGCGGUAAUACGAAGGGACCUAGCGUAGUUCGGAAUUACUGGGCUUAAAGAGUUCGUAGGUGGUUGAAAAAGUUGGUGGUGAAAUCCCAGAGCUUAACUCUGGAACUGCCAUCAAAACUUUUCAGCUAGAGUAUGAUAGAGGAAAGCAGAAUUUCUAGUGUAGAGGUGAAAUUCGUAGAUAUUAGAAAGAAUACCAAUUGCGAAGGCAGCUUUCUGGAUCAUUACUGACACUGAGGAACGAAAGCAUGGGUAGCGAAGAGGAUUAGAUACCCUCGUAGUCCAUGCCGUAAACGAUGUGUGUUAGACGUUGGAAAUUUAUUUUCAGUGUCGCAGCGAAAGCGAUAAACACACCGCCUGGGGAGUACGACCGCAAGGUUAAAACUCAAAUGAAUUGACGGGGACCCGCACAAGUAGUGGAGCAUGUGGUUUAAUUCGAAGAUACGCGCAGAACCUUACCAACACUUGACAUGUUCGUCGCGACUUUGAGAGAUCAAAGUUUUCGGUUCGGCCGGACGAAACACAGGUGCUGCAUGGCUGUCGUCAGCUCGUGUCGUGAGAUGUUGGGUUAAGUCCCGCAACGAGCGCAACCCUCACUUUUAGUUGCCAUCAUUUAGUUGGGCACUCUGAAAGAACUGCCAGUGAUAAGCUGGAGGAAGGUGGGGAUGACGUCAAGUCCUCAUGGCCCUUACGUGUUGGGCUACACACGUGCUACAAUGGUAUCUACAACAGGAAGCAAGACUGCGAAGUUAAGCAAAUCCUUAAAAGAUACCUCAGUUCGGAUUGCACUCUGCAACUCGAGUGCAUGAAGCUGGAAUUACUAGUAAUCGCAGGUCAGAAUACUGCGGUGAGUACGUUCCCGGGCCUUGUA
rnacentral:rRNA from 1 species